GGGGCAGGGAGGGGGGGCAUGGAGGCAGCCCGGAGCAGCCGAUGCUACUGCGAGAAUGGACUGAGAAGAUCCCACCAUCGCCUCUGGAUGUAGCCGACACGGAAGAGCCACGGAAGGGAUUCUCCUCCUCCUCCUUCCUCCAAGCAUUGUCCAUCUUGGGCGCCGGCGAGGAAGGGUCUCUGGGGGGACGAGGAAGCCGAUGGAUGUGGGGGGAGGGAGGGAAAGGGGUGGGAAUGACAUCACCCUGUGNGGAAGGGUCUCUGGGGGGACGAGGAAGCCGAUGGAUGUGGGGGGAGGGAGGGAAAGGGGUGGGAAUGACAUCACCCUGUGAAUGAUGACAUCACAAGGCCCUCGUGGGGGUCAUCACUAUGGGCCGCAGAAGUCCUCGACUUACGACGGGUCACUUAAGCGAGAGUUCAGAGGUAGAAGUGACUUUGAGGGUGGGGGUUGGACUAGAUGACCUACAGGAUCCCUUCCAAUUUUGUUAAUCUGUAAACCGGGAAACUCCCCCCCUCAGGGGUCACUUAAGAGUUCAGAGGUAGGACUGACUAUGAAAGUGGGGAUCAGACUAGAUGGCCUACAAGACCCCAACGCGGUAAACGCGGUAAAUCUGUAAAUUGGACACACAUCCCUGGGUCAUUUAAGCAAGAGUUCAGAGGUAGGACCAACAAAGUGGGGAUCAGACUAGAUGACCUACAAGGUCUCUUCCAACUUGGUAAAUCUGUAAACCAGAAGAUUCGCCCCCACGAGCCACUUAAACAAGAAUUCAGAGGUAGGACUGACUGUUAAAGUGGGGGUCAGACUAGACGACCUACAUUAAUCUGUAAACCAGACACCCCACACAUACACAAACACAAAAGUUACAGGUAGAGUCCUCGGCUUAUGGCCAGAAUUGAGCCCUGAAUUUCUGGGGUUCCGCAGGGCAAUUUUUUUUCAUGUAACCCAGGAUACCACAGAUUGUCAUAAGUACACGUGCCAGUGGCCAAGCGUCUGAAUCCACGGUCGUAAGUGUGAAAAAUGGUCACAUUUUCAAGACGGGUCACGUUGAACGGUCGUUGAAUGACCCGUUGUAACUCAAGGAGUAGCUGUAUUCCACAUUGGGCGGGGGGGACACGGGGGAAUAAAUCCAUGAGAGUUUAAAGGAUUCAGCUAGUCCUCGUUUUACGACCGUUCACUUAGAGACUGUCCAGAAUUACAAUGGACCUCCCGGGGGAUGUGGGGGGGAGGAUAGGGGCGUUCUUACAACCCAGUUCCAAGGUUUUGAUGUAUCCUGUCUACAAGUCCAGUUCUUAGAACCCAGCCUGUUUUUAUGGCCAUUUAUAGCCAUUUCAUAGCCAUUAGCCCCCCCCCCCAGUCAUCUGACUCGCUUAAUGACCAAAAACCGGCAUGUCCUUCUAGUUUUUGGGGUCAAAGCCUGCCCGGAGACAACUCUUGGCUGAUUGGACUCCCAUCUGUCAGAAAUUGUUGCAGAGGUUCUCCUGCUUGGGAGGAAGGAGGUUGGACUAGAUGACCUAGAGGGUCCCUUCCAGCUUCGUUAUUCUAUAUUCAAUAGAACAGAAGUUGCCUUUGGAAGUCAUGGGAGCUUCAUCCCUGGAGGCUUUCAAGAAGAGACUGGACUGCCUUCUGUUAGAACUGGUGCAGAGUCUCCCGCUUGGACGGGGCGGGGUUGGACUAGAUGACCUAUAAGGUCCCUUCCAGCUCUGAUUAUCUGUUAUCUGAACGAAUCAUAGUGGUGGCUGAACAGCUAUUGCAAAAAAACCAAAAAAAAAGGUCAAAAUCAGGUUGCUCUCAUGGGUCGAGCUGCUUUUUAUGACCGUUUUGACUUAUGACCAUGAUGGUUGGGUUCCAGGAUGGUUGUAAUUCGAGGACUACCUAUUGUGAAAUAAUCUUCCAGAUUCCCCAAAUGUUGCACUCCUGUGCAUAAUUAAUAUAAUUUUGAGGUGGGAUAUGCCUGUAAUUAAUGGGGUAUUUAUUGUAUCCCU
rnacentral:lncRNA from 1 species